rnacentral:rRNA from 1 species
UACGUAGGCAGCAAGCGUUGUUCGGAGUUACUGGGCGUAAAGAGUGCGUAGGCGGUGCUCUAAGUUUGGUGUGAAAUCUCCCGGCUUAACUGGGAGGGUGCGCCGAAAACUGGAGUGCUUGAGUGUGGGAGAGGCAAGCGGAAUUCCUGGUGUAGCGGUGAAAUGCGUAGAUAUCAGGAGGAACACCGGUGGCGAAGGCGGGUCUCUGGGCCGAUACUGACGCUGAGGAGCGAAAGCGUGGGGAGCGAACAGG